UACGGGGGGGGCAAGCGUUGUUCGGAAUUACUGGGCGUAAAGGGCGUGUAGGCGGUUUGCUAAGUUGAAUGUGAAAACUCUGGGCUUAACCCAGAGCCUGCAUUCAAUACUGGCAGGCUAGAGUUCUGGAGGGGAUAGCGGAAUUCCUGGUGUAGCGGUGAAAUGCGUAGAUAUCAGGAGGAACACCGGUGGCGAAGGCGGCUAUCUGGACAGAGUCUGACGCUGAGGCGCGAAAGCUAGGGGAGCAAACAGG
rnacentral:rRNA from 1 species